AGCGAACGCUGGCGGCAGGCUUAACACAUGCAAGUCGAGCGGGCAUCUUCGGAUGUCAGCGGCAGACGGGUGAGUAACACGUGGGAACGUACCCUUCGGUUCGGAACAACUCUGGGAAACUGGAGCUAAUACCGGAUACGCCCUUAUGGGGAAAGGUUUACUGCCGAAGGAUCGGCCCGCGUCUGAUUAGCUAGUUGGUUGGGUAACGGCCUACCAAGGCGACGAUCAGUAGCUGGUCUGAGAGGAUGAUCAGCCACACUGGGACUGAGACACGGCCCAGACUCCUACGGGAGGAAGCAGUGGGGAAUAUUGGAAAAUGGGCGCAAGCCUGAUCCAGCCAUGCCGCGUGAGUGAUGAAGGCCUUAGGGUUGUAAAGCUCUUUUGUCCGGGACGAUAAUGACGGUACCGGAAGAAUAAGCCCCGGCUAACUUCGUG
rnacentral:rRNA from 1 species